rnacentral:lncRNA from 1 species
AACAUUCCUGUGAGCGAGUUGGUGCUGCAACGUGCUGGUCUACAGAGCUACACAAAGGAGUGAUCCGGCCCAUCAGGUAAACUACAGCUCUAGAUAUAACUAAGUGAAGCACGGCUGGAGAGGGAAGAAAUAACACCUGGACUGCUGACUGCCGUCGUGGAAGGGCAAAACAAGAGGACACAAAUGCAUCCAGCUAUUCUCUGUGCUGCUUGGUGUAAUAGAUUAAACUUCAAUGCACCUUGGGCUCUUUUCAUGGGCUUUGCCUGUCACCUUUACACCCUUCAGAGUUCUAUAAGGAAUUAUCAGCACUACGACUCUUUGGCAGUCUUAGUGGGAAACCCUGGGAGGUCAGGAAUAUGGGCCUGUGAAAUGACAUCUUCCUGCCUCGUCCAAAGAUAGCAUUCAUCAUCAUUUAGGCAGAUGUAUGAUGCUGCUAGGCAAAACGCCAGCCAUGGAUCACAUUGGUGUCCCAUUACAGAGCCUACGCUGUCCCAGUGUCUACACAGAGUGGGAAUCUCAAGGCUGGAUACUGAGAGCCUUCCUGGAACUUCAGGGAAAAUAAAUGUACUAAAUCAGUUGGUUAAUUAUCUGUGUCAUUGACCUUGGUGCCUUAAUGGAAAAAUAUGGUUCAGAUAUUACAUGGCUAUAAACAAAAAAUUAUAAGUAGCAUCCAGUGUGUAAUUGACAGAUUUGAGUGCAUUUAAUAGUGUGCAAUG